CUACCCUUGACAUGUACGGAAUUCCGCAGAGAUGUGGAAGUGCCCGAAAGGGAACCGUAACACAGGUGCUGCAUGGCUGUCGUCAGCUCGUGUCGUGAGAUGUUGGGUUAAGUCCCGCAACGAGCGCAACCCUUGCCAUUAGUUGCUACAUUCAGUUGGGCACUCUAGUGGGACCGCCGGUGACAAACCGGAGGAAGGUGGGGAUGACGUCAAGUCCUCAUGGCCCUUAUGGGUAGGGCUUCACACGUAAUACAAUGGUCGGUACAGAGGGCAGCCAACCCGCGAGGGGGAGCUAAUCCCAGAAAGCCGAUCGUAGUCCGGAUUGUAGUCUGCAACUCGACUGCAUGAAGCCGGAAUCGCUAGUAAUCGCGGAUCAGCAUGUCGCGGUGAAUACGUUCCC
rnacentral:rRNA from 1 species